rnacentral:rRNA from 1 species
GACAGAGGUGCCAAGCGUUAGGCGGAAUCACUGGGCUUAAAGCGUGUGUAGGCGGAAUGGUAAGUACCUUGUGAAAUCCCACGGCUCAACCGUGGAACUGCUUGGUAUACUGCUUUUCUUGAGCCACUUAGGGGCAACCGGAACAAACGGUGGAGCGGUGAAAUGCGUAGAUAUCGUUUGGAACGCCAAUGGUGAAAACAGGUUGCUGGGAGUGUGCUGACGCUGAGGCGCGAAAGCUAGGGGAGCAAACAGG